AACGAGUACUUUUUCUCAUUUUAUCGAAGAAAACGCAAAAUCUAAUUAUAUUGUUCUAUUAUGCCCAGAGAGUGUAAAUUUGGAACGAAUCGAUGUCAACGCUCACAUGAACAAAAAUCGGGACAACAUUAGACUACUCAGUUGCGCCAUAACAGUAUAACUUUGCAACGAGUGCUUUUUCUCAUUUCAUCGUAGAAAGCGCAAAUCCAAUUAUAUUGUUCUAUUAUGCCCAGAGAGUGUAAAUUUGGAACGAACCGAUGUCAACGCUCACAAGAAAAAAAAAACCGGAACAACAUUAGACUACUUAGUUGCGCCCUAACAGUAUAACUUUGCAACGAGUACUUAUUCUCAUUUUAUCGAACAAAGCGUCAAACCUAAUUAUAUUGAUUUAUUAUGCCCAGAGAGUGUAAAUUUGGAACGAAUCAAUGUCAGCGCUCACAGGAACAAAAACCGGAACAACAAUAGACUGCUUAGUUGCGCCAUAACAGUAUAACUUUGCAACGAGUGCUUUUUCUCAUUUUAUCGAAAAAGCGCAAAUUUAAUUAUAUUGUUCUAUAAUGCCCAGAGAGUGUAAAAUUUGGAACGAAUCGAUGUCAACGCUCACAAGAACAAAAACCGGAACAACAUCAGACUACUCAGUUGCGCCAUAACAGUAUAACUUUGCAACGAGUGCUUUUUCUCAUUUUAUCGAAGAAAAAGAGUAAAACAUAAUUAUAUUGUUCUAUUAUGCCCAGAGAGUGUAAAUUUGGAACGAAUCGAUGUCAACGCUCGCAAGAACAAAAACCGAAACAACUUUAGACUACUCAGUUGCGCAAUAACAGUAUAACAUUGCAACGAGUGAUUUUUCUCAUUUUAUCGAAGAAAGCGUAAAACCUAAUUAUAUUUUUCUAUUAUGACCAGAGAGUGUAAAUUUGGAACGAAUCGAUGUCAACGCUCACAAGAACAAAAAUCGGAACAACAUUAGACUACUCAGUUGCUCCAUAACAGUAUAACUUUGCAACGAGUACUUUUUCUCAUUUUAUCGAAGAAAACGCAAAAUCUAAUUAUAUUGUUCUAUUAUGCCCAGAGAGUGUAAAUUUGGAACGAAUCGAUGUCAACGCUCACAUGAACAAAAAUCGGGACAACAUUAGACUACUGAGUUGCGCCCUAACAGUAUAAAUUUGCAACGAGACCUUUUUCUCAUUUUAUCGAAGAAAGCAUCAAACCUAAUUAUAUUGUUCUAUUAUGCCCAGACAGUGUAAUUUUGGAACGAAUCGAUGUCAACGCUCACAAGAAUAAAAACCGGAACAACAUUAGACUACUCAGUCGCGCCCUAACAGUAUAACUUUGCAACGAGUACUUUUUCUCAUUUUAUCGAACAAAGCGUCAAACCUAAUUAUAUUGAUUUAUUAUGCCCAGAGAGUGUAAAUUUAGAACGAAUCGAUGUCAACGCUCACAAGAACAAAAACCGGAACAACAAUAGACUACUUAGUUGCGCCAUAACAGUAUAACUUUGCAACGAAUGCUUUUUCUCAUUUUAUCGAAAAAGCGCAAAUUUAAUUAUAUUGUUCUAUAAUGCCCAGAGAGUGUAAAAUUUGGAACGAAUCGAUGUCAACGCUCACAAGAACAAAAACCGGAACAACAUGAGACUACUCAGUUACGCCCUAACAGUAUAAAUUUGCAACGAGCACUUUUUCUCAUUUUAUCGAAGAAAGCAUUAAACCUAAUUAUAUUGUAAUAUUAUGCCCAGAGGGUGUAAAUUUGGAACGAAUCGAUGUCAACGCUCACAAGAACAAAAACCGGAACAACAUUAGACUACUCAGUUGCGCCAUAACAGUAUAAUUUUGCAACGAGUGCUUUUCUCAUUUCAUCGAAGAAAGCGCAAAUCUAAUUAUAUUGUUCUAUUAUGCCCAGAGAGUGUAAAUUUGGAACGAAAUCGAUGUCAACGCUCACAAGAACAAAAACAGGAACAACAUUAGACUACUCAGUUGCGCCCUUACAGUAUAACUUUGCAACGAGUACUUUUUCUCAUUUUAUCGAAGAAAGCGUAAAACCUAAUUGUAUUCUUCUAUUAUGCCCAGAGAGUGUAAAUUUGGAACGAAUCGAUGUCAACGUUCACAAGAACAAAAACCGGAACAACAUUAGACUACUCAGUUGCGCCCUAACAGUAUAACUUUGCGACGAGUACUUUUUCUCAUUCUAUCGAACAAAGAGUAAAACAUAAUUAUAUUGUUCUAUUAUGCCCAGAGAGUGUAAAUUUGGAACGAAUCGAUGUCAACGCUCGCAAGAACAAAAACCGAAACAACUUUAGACUACUCAGUUGCGCAAUAACAGUAUAACAUUGCAACGAGUGAUUUUUCUCAUUUUAUCGAAGAAAGCGUAAAACCUAAUUAUAUUUUUCUAUUAUGACCAGAGAGUGUAAAUUUGGAACGAAUCGAUGUCAACGCUCACAAGAACAAAAAUCGGAACAACAUUAGACUACUCAGUUGCGCCCUAACAGUAUAACUUUGCAACGAGUACUUAUUCUCAUUUUAUCGAACAAAGCGUCAAACCUAAUUAUAUUGAUUUAUUAUGCCCAGAGAGUGUAAAUUUGGAACGAAUCAAUGUCAGCGCUCACAGGAACAAAAACCGGAACAACAAUAGACUGCUUAGUUGCGCCAUAACAGUAUAACUUUGCAACGAGUGCUUUUUCUCAUUUUAUCGAAAAAGCGCAAAUUUAAUUAUAUUGUUCUAUUCUGCCCAGAGAGUGUAAAUUUGGAACGAAUCGAUGUCAACGCUCACAAGAAAAAAAACCAGAACAACAUUAGACUACUCAGUUGCGACAUAACAGUAUAACUUUGCAACGAGUACUUUUUCUCAUUUUAUCGAAGAAAACGCAAAAUCUAAUUAUAUUGUUCUAUUAUGCCCAGAGAGUGUAAAUUUGGAACGAAUCGAUGUCAACGCUCACAUGAACAAAAAUCGGGACAACAUUAGACUACUGAGUUGCGCCCUAACAGUAUAAAUUUGCAACGAGACCUUUUUCUCAUUUUAUCGAAGAAAGCAUCAAACCUAAUUAUAUUGUUCUAUUAUGCCCAGACAGUGUAAUUUUGGAACGAAUCGAUGUCAACGCUCACAAGAAUAAAAACCGGAACAACAUUAGACUACUCAGUCGCGCCCUAACAGUAUAACUUUGCAACGAGUACUUUUUCUCAUUUUAUCGAAGAAAGCGUCAAACCUAAUUAUAUUGUUCUAUAAUGCCCAGAGAGUGUAAAUUUGGAACGAAUCGAUAUCAACACUCACAAAAAUAAAAACCGGAACAACAUUUGAGUACUCAGUUGUGCCUCUAACAGGUAUAACUUUUUGCAACCAGUACUUUAUUCUCAUUUUUUUGAAGUAAGCGGCCAAAACUAAUUUAUAUUGUAUUCUAUUUAGCCCCAGAGAGCUUGUAAAUUUCUGGAACGAAUUGAUGUCAACGCUCCACAAGAACAAAAACUGGAACAAAAUUAGGCUACUUAGUUGCGCCCUAACAGUAUAACUUUGCAACGAGUGCUUUUUCACAUUUUAUCGAAGAAAGCGUCAAACCUAAUUAUAUUGCUCUAUAAUGCCCAGAGAGUGUAAAUUUGGAACGAAUCGAUAUCAACACUCACAAAAAUAAAAACCGGAACAACAUUUGAGCACUCAGUUGUGUGCCCUUAACAGGUAUAACUUUUGCAACCAGUACUUUUUCUUCAUUUUAUCGAAAGUAAUGCGUCAAAACUAAUUUAUAUUAUGUCUCUUUUACGCCCAGAAGAGAGUAAAUCUGGAACGGAAUCGAUGUCAACGCUCACAAGAACAAAAACUGGAACAAAAUUAGGCUACUUAGUUGCGCCCUAACAGUAUAACUUUGCAACGAGUGCUUUUUCACAUUUUAUCGAAGAAAGCGUCAAACCUAAUUAUAUUGCUCUAUAAUGCCCAGAGAGUGUAAAUUUGGAACGAAUCGAUAUCAACACUCACAAAAAUAAAAACCGGAACAACAUUUGAGUACUCAGUUGCGCCUUAACAGUAUAACUUUGCAACCAGUACUUUUUCUCAUUUUAUCGAAGUAAGCGUCAAACCUAAUUAUAUUAUUCUAUUAUGCCCAGAGAGUGUAAAUUUGGAACGAUUCGAUGUCAACGCUCACAAGAACAAAAACCGGAACAACAUUAGACUCUUCAGUUGCACCCUAACAGUAUAACUUUGCAACGCGUACUUUUUCUCGUUUUAUCGAAGAAAGCGUAAAAUCUAAUUAUAUUGUUGUAUUAUGCCCAGAUAGUGUAAAUUUGGAACGAAUCGAUGUCAACGCUCACAAGAACAAAAACCGGAACAACAUUAGAGCACUCAGUUCCGCCAUAACAGUAUAACUUUGCAACGAGUGCUUUUUUUCAUUUUAUCGAAGAAAGCGUAAAACCUAGUUAUAUUAUUCUAUUAUGCCCAGAGAGUGUAAAUUUGGAACGAAUCGAUUUCAACGCUCACAAGAACAAAAACCGGAACAACAUUAGACUACUCAGUUGCGCCCUAACAGUAUAACUUUGCAACGAGUACUUUUUCUCAUUUAUCGAAGAAAGCGUCAAACCUAAUUAUAUUGUUCUAUCUUGCCCAGAGAGUGUAAAUUUGGAACGAAUCGAUGUCAAAGCUCACAAGAACAAAAAUCGGAUCAAUAUUAGACUACUCAGUUGCGCCCUAACAGUAUAACUUUGCAACGAGUGCUUUUUCUCAUUUUAUCGAAGAAAGCGUAAAUCUAAUUAUAUUGUUCUAUUAUACCUAGAGAGUGUAAAAUUGGAACGAACUGAUGUGAGCGCUCACAAGAACAAAAACCGGAUCAAUAUUAGACUACUCAGUUCCGCCCUAACAGUAUAACUUUGCAACGAGUACUUUUUCUCAUUUAUCGAAGAAAGCGUCAAACCUAAUUAUAUUGUUCUAUUAUGCCCAGAGAGUGUAAAUUUGGAACGAAUCGAUUUUAAAGCUCACAAGAACAAAAACCGGAACAAUAUUAGACAACUCAGUUGCGCCCGAACAGUAUAACUUUGCAACGAGUGCUUUUUCUCAUUUUAUCGAAGAAAGCGUCAAACCUCAUUAUAUUGUUCUAUUAUGCCGAGAGAGUGUAAAUUUGGAACGAAUCGAUGUCAACGCUCACAAGAACAAAAACCGGAACAACAUUAGACUCUUCAGUUGCACCCUAACAGUAUAACUUUGCAACGCGUACUUUUUCUCGUUUUAUCGAAGAAAGCGUAAAAUCUAAUUAUAUUGUUGUAUUAUGCCCAGAUAGUGUAAAUUUGGAACGAAUCGAUGUCAACGCUCACAAGAACAAAAACCGGAACAACAUUAGAGCACUCAGUUCCGCCAUAACAGUAUAACUUUGCAACGAGUGCUUUUUUUCAUUUUAUCGAAGAAAGCGUAAAACCUAGUUAUAUUAUUCUAUUAUGCCCAGAGAGUGUAAAUUUGGAACGAAUCGAUUUCAACGCUCACAAGAACAAAAACCGGAACAACAUUAGACUACUCAGUUGCGCCCUAACAGUAUAACUUUGCAACGAGUACUUUUUCUCAUUUUAUCGAAGAAAGCGUAAAAUCUAAUUAUAUUGUUCUAUUAUUCCCAGAUAGUGUAAAUUUGGAACGAAUUGAUGUCAACGCUCACAAGAACAAAAACCGGAACAACUUUAGACUACUCAGUUGCGCCUAACAGUAUAACUUUGCAACGAGUACUUUUUCUCAUUUUAUCGAAGAAAGCGUCAAAACUAAUUAUAUUGUUCUAUUACGCCCAGAGAGUGUAAAUUUGGAACGAAUUGAUGUCAACGCUCACAAGAACAAAAACUGGAACAAAAUUAGGCUACUUAGUUGCGCCCUAACAGUAUAACUUUGCAACGAGUGCUUUUUCACAUUUUAUCGAAGAAAGCGUCAAACCUAAUUAUAUUGCUCUAUAAUGCCCAGAGAGUGUAAAUUUGGAACGAAUCGAUAUCAACACUCACAAAAAUAAAAACCGGAACAACAUUUGAGUACUCAGUUGCGCCUUAACAGUAUAACUUUGCAACCAGUACUUUUUCUCAUUUUAUCGAAGUAAGCGUCAAACCUAAUUAUAUUAUUCUAUUAUGCCCAGAGAGUGUAAAUCUGGAACGAAUCGAUGUCAACGCUCACAAGAACAAAAACCGGAACAACAUUAGACUACUCAGUUGCGCCAUAACAAUAUAACUUUGCAACGAGUACUUUUUCUUAUUUUAUCGAAGAAAGCGUAAAUCCUAAUUAUAUUAUUCUAUUAUGCCCAGAGAGAGUAAAUUUAGAACCAAUCGAUGUCAACGCUCACAAGAACAAAAAUCGGAACAACAAUAGACUACUCAGUUGCACCCUAACAGUAUAACUUUACAACGAGUGCUUUUUCUCAUUUUAUCGAAGAAGGCGUCAAACCUAAUUAUAUUGUUCUAUUAUUCCGAGAAAGUGUAAAUUUGGAACGAAUCGAUGUCAAAGCUCACAAGAACAAAAACCGGAACAAUAUUGGACUACUCAGUUGCGCCCUAACAGUAUAACUUUGCAACGAGUGCUUUUUCCCAUUUUAUCGAAGAAAGCGUAAAUGCUAAUUAUAUUGUUCUAUUAUGCCCAGAGAGUGUAAAUUUGGAACGAACCGAUGUCAGCGCUCACAAGAACAAAAACCGGAACAACAUUAGACUAAUCAGUUGCGCCCGAACAGUAUAAUUUUGCAACGAGUGAUUUUUCUCAUUUUAUCGAAGAAAGCGUCAAACCUAAUUAUAUUGUUCUAUUAUGCCCAGAGAGUGUAAAUUUGGAACGAAUCGAUGUCAACGCUCACAUGAACAAAAAUCGGGACAACAUUAGACUACUGAGUUGCGCCCUAACAGUAUAAAUUUGCAACGAGACCUUUUUCUCAUUUUAUCGAAGAAAGCAUCAAACCUAAUUAUAUUGUUCUAUUAUGCCCAGACAGUGUAAUUUUGGAACGAAUCGAUGUCAACGCUCACAAGAAUAAAAACCGGAACAACAUUAGACUACUCAGUCGCGCCCUAACAGUAUAACUUUGCAACGAGUACUUUUUCUCAUUUUAUCGAAGAAAGCGUCAAACCUAAUUAUAUUGUCUAUUAUGACCAGAGAGUGUAAAUUUGGAACGAAUCGAUGUCAACGCUCACAAGAACAAAAACCGGAAGAAAAUUAGACCACUUAGUUGCGCCCUAACAGUAUAACUUUGCAACGAGUACUUUUUCUCAUUUUAUCGAAUAAAGCGUAAAACCUAAUUAUAUUGUUCUAUUAUGCCCAGAGAGUGUAAAUUUGGAACGAAUCGAUGUCAACGCUCACAAGAACAAAAACCGGAAUAACUUUAGACUACUCAGUUGCGCCAUAACAAUAUAACUUUGCAA
rnacentral:lncRNA from 1 species